rnacentral:ncRNA from 1 species
AGCUUUACUGUUCNNNNNNNNNNNNNNNNNUGCGCAGCUUAGGUGGAAGGCGAAGAAGGCCCCCUUCCGGGGGGGCCCGAGCCAUCAGUGAGAUACCACUCUGGAAGAGCUCGGAUUCUAACCUUGUGUCAGACCCGCGGGCCAAGGGAUAGUCUCAGUUAGAUAGUUUUUAUGGGGCGUAGGCCUCCCAAAAGGUAACGGAGGCGUGCAAAGGUUUCCUUGGGCCAAAUGAUAUCAAUGUUCUAAGAAAAAUGUUACAAGUUAUAGCCUCAAAUUCCUUGUGCAUAUGUAUAGAAUAUUGAAUUCAGAUUGGAGGUGAUUAUUUAUGGCUUAACGAAACUA